UCACCGCUUGUCUUUUCCCCCGCGCCGUGGCACACGCCUCGUUUCCGAAGGCCUCAAGCUGGAUCUGCAAGUAGAGAGACACACCUCACUGGUUAGACGGGUGCGCAGACGUUUGUGCACGCACAAGACACGGGCGGGCAAACUAGUGCCAAUGACGUCGACUCUGACGAACAGCAACCGCAUCAAUAUCCCUGCGGUAUGCCGGCUUCGUGAGCGGAACACGAACAAGACUGUGGGCUCGGGUGUGCUGGUGGCACCGGGGCUGCUGCUGACGUCUGCCACCGCUAUCCCUACGCAGUCGCGUGCCACGCACGUUGUGGCCACGUUCUUUGAGGGAACCAAGAAAAGCGCCGUGGAUGUGCAACUGCAGCCGCAGCGCUACUACUUCGCCUCCCGCUAUCCGCCAGAAAUGGACUACUGCCUUAUCAGCUGCGAGGAGGCGCCGCUGUUCAACGUCACACCGGUGCACAUGGCACUCACUGAGAAAGGGUGGGCACCUGUGGAGGAAGGCGAUGUAGUACUGAUCGUAGAGCACCCAAUCGGAGACGUGGCCGGCACCGCAGCAGCUCCAUUGGACGGAAAAGCGACCUUCUCCUCCACGCUAUCCGCGACCGGCGAGGGCAACUUUGAUUCCGUGCAGGCGCCGUACGUGGAGCAGAAGCGCUUCGAGGAAGUGCUGCGCUGCCGCGGCAAUGUGAGCUUCCUCAAGUCCAACGGGGGCUGGAGGACAGCUGGCUGUCCUGCGUUCAACGAGCACGGCCAGCUGGUCGGCCUGCAAUCGCAGAGCAGGGCAGAUGGCGAGGGAGUCGUGAACCGCAUCCUGUCGCUGAUCUCUAUUGUGAAGCACCUCUUCGCCAACGUGCAGCUGCCGCAUCUCCCGCAGGAGGACGUCACGUUCGAGGAUGUGUGGGACACGUGGUACCUGACGAACGACAUCACGCGCAUCAUCGCCAUCCUCGCCAACUUUAAAGGCAAGUCCAUGACCCGGCAGGUGAUAUGGCGCCUGUGCGAGCUGACGGCAAAGCCGCAGCUGGUCAAGAGUAUCGCCUCGAAUGGCGGCAUCGAGGUUAUUCUGCAGAACCUUAGUCUCUUCUGUAGCGACGAGAAGCUUUCGGAGAUCGGCUUACGCGCUCUCUGGAAUGUGAGCAUUGGCGAGGAGGCGCAUCUAGCCACCAUUAUCAAAAAGGAAGGCGUGCACACCAUCCUCGACGUUGUGGAGUCAUUUCCUGCGAACGAGACGGUGCUCGAGUUUGGCGUGGUGCUGCUGCACAACAUCGUCGGGUGCCGUGCGGCGCCAAACUUCUCUGAGGCUCACGGCGCGCGUGCGUUGAAGGCGCUAUACCCCGGCUUUCAGCAGUUCCGUGAGAGCGUCGUGCUGCAGAAGUUUGCGCUGAGCUUCUUUGCAACCCUUGCGCGACUUAACGAGGAGUUUGCACGCGAUUUGGUGCAACAGCACGUCAUCGAGCACAUUACCCAUCUCAUCGAAGAGAAGCCGAAGCAGAUCUUUCUCAUGGAAAUAGUCGUCGGGUUUGUGGCAGAGCUGGCGCAGUACCCGCAUACGGUUGAGCUGAUGUGUAAUAACACCCCGGAGUACGCAGCCGCCAGCAUGGCGUAUCUGAUUGACCUCCUCAUUCAUAUCAUCUUGGAAUACAAGGACCUUGAUAGCCUUUUGGUGAGCGGCAAUCGGGCGCUGUGGGGACUUGGUAAUGCGCCCACUUGCCGCGGCAUCAUUUUGGAGAACCCACGGGGCAUCGAUGCACUGCGCAUCUCACUGCCAGCACUCAUAGCAAGCACCCACCGCUAGUUAUGUUGUCCUCCUUGGCGGCUGAUGUCUGUGCCCACUUGCUGCCUCUCCUCUUGGGCCCGAGUCGGGCUCUCAUUUUUCUUUUGGUUUUGCGUGUGUGUGCGUGUAGGGAGGAUGUGGUCUUGGCCGCGUGUGGUGCCAAGAGAAAAGGGGGCGGGGGGAGGGGGAAGAGAAGGAACGCCGCACCGGUGGCGCCUGCUUGCUUCUGUCUGUGAAGAAAAGCGGAUGCCAUGCUGCGUCCCAUUGUUCUCGCUCGUCUCUCGGUCAUGCGGGAGCAUCUCUUUAACGUUUUUUUUUUGUUUGGUGGUCAUCACCCACGCCUCUCCUUGCCUCUCUCUUCGAUGUACGUUAGCGUAUUUUCCUCCUUCGGUUUUCGUUGUUGAAUCGUUCACGUUUUGAAUCGCAGGUCGUCCCCGCCCCCCCAUCCUCGUGGAACGAAGACGGUGCGUCAAAAGGGUGCGCACUAC
rnacentral:misc_RNA from 1 species